ensembl:lncRNA
AUGACAGCUCAUCCAACUCAGUCAUUUUAUCAAGCUCCUCCAGCGUAUCAAGUUUAUCAAGCUCCUCCAGCUCAACCAGCAGCUCUAGUUCAACCAGCAGAACCAGCACCUGCACCAGCUACUCAACCAGCUGAACCAGCACCUGCACCAGCUACUCAACCAGCUGAACCAGCACCUGCACCAGCUACUCAACCAGCUGAACCAGCACCUGCACCAGCUGAACCAGCAACUCAACCAACUGAACCAGCACCAGCACCUGGACUUGCACCGACAACUCAACCAGCUUCAUGGACUCAAGAACCACAGGCUCCCAAAGAAAAGCAGAAGGCUGGCACCAUAAAGAAGGUUCCAAAGGAAAAGACCAAGGCAGCUGCCCCAAAGAAGGAGCCAGAGCCCCCUAAAGAAAAAGUUAAGAAGCAAGACGCUGUGGUGUCCAAAGAGAAGGUCAAACCAGCUGUUGUAAAGAAAGAAGCUGUUGUCUCCAAAGAAAAGACAAAACCUACCACAAUGAAGAAAGAGCCUUCAAUCUUCAAAGAAAAACCCAAGACAAUCACUACCAAGACAACCACAAGCACUUCCAGAAAAGAAGCUGUUGUCUCCAAAGAAAAUACAAAACCUGCCACAAUGAAGAAAGAGGUUGUUGUUUCCAAAGAUAAAGGUAAAACAACAACUGCUAAGAAAGAGCCUGUGGRAAAGGRCAAAAUAACUCCUACGAAGAAAGAGCCUGCAAUCUCCAAAGAAAAAGUGAAGACAAACUCUACCAAGACAACCACAAGCGCUUCCAAGAAAGUUGUUUCAGAACCCGAGCCCCUAAAGGAGAAAGCCACUCCGAGAGUCCCCACUAUGAGGAAAGGGAACCACACUAAUGUAGUGGUGCCAAUGGUAAAAGCCAUGGCUAGAGUUGUCGCUAUGAGACCCAUCCCUACAACAAAAGUGACAGAGGAGAAGCUAUCCAAAGAACCUGAGACAGCAAAAGAGAAACCAAAAGCGGCAGAGAAAAAAGAAGACAAGGUAAAGGAUGUGAAGACAUCAGAUGCCAAAGCUAAAACCACACUCUCUGUGAAGACAGCCCAGCCCACUCAACCACAUAAAGCUGAGAAGACUGAGAAGAAAGCUGUGAAGGAGGCUAAAGAGAAAGAAGUGAAGCCUCCUGGUAUAGCAAAAGAAUCUCAGACUGACGAUAAUGCCAUGGACAAGAAGAAGCCAGGUCAGAAAGUAUUGCAGUGUGUUUUAAUGGUUGGAAAGAAUGCCCACUACCCUUUGCGACCUUCCACCCCUGGUAUGACCCCUGUGUCGAUGAGCCCAGCCAUGCGGUCCAUGAUGUUGCAGCAGGCGCAGCAGCAGAAAGCCAGAGCGGCGGGACAGUAGACUAGCUCCUCACCUCCAUGCUGCUCCCUCUAGUCAGUCUGCACGACAGCCUUAACCAGGAUAAUCAGGGACUAAAGAGGAAGGAUGGAUGGACAGUACAGUAUUAUUUAUUUUUCUAUGACCGGUCGAGCUCCCGUGAGUUAAGUCAAUGAACUAUUUUCUUUUACCUGUGGCUUUGCCGCUUUUGAUAGCGCUCAGUGCUGAGUCCUUUGUGAUCUAUGUUUUUCAACAGAUUUAUUUAUAAGAAAUGUUAUGCCUAUGUAUUACCUUAGGAAGCAAAUGGAAUUGAUCAUUUCUGUAAAUUUCAACCAAAUUCAAUGUACAUAUGCAUAUAAAUUGUAAUUAGGCUCAAGUUCAAUGUAUAUAAUGUACAUGUGAUAUCAACAUCUUGCCAUUUUCAUUUGUUGAAUAAUUACUUCACGUUAUAAUUUUUUCAUUUGUUACUUUUAUCACAACAUUCAUAAUGACAUUCAUAAUGAGUUCAGAAUGGCAAAACAUCUGUAAAUUGAUUUUAGGGUCAUACAUUAUCAAUGGCACUGUGAUUAAAAUUGAGUUUAGUUUUUAUUUCAUGUUUUGAUUCUAUCUUAUUAAGGAAACAAAUUGAACAUGCUAUACAAUAACAAAUGAACAAUAUAGCUCACUUUCUCCGAACAUGUCCAUGUCUGUAUGCUUCUGUUGAUGUGUGACAUACCCUGUCCAUUUUUUAAGACUAUGGUAAUAGUUGAGCAUCAAAUAAACAGUGACAAUCUUCAUAAUCAUUUUAGAAAUUGUGUGCAUCACAGUUUGAUCAUGAAAGAGGAUCGAUAUUUGUAUUUGUAUAAAAAUUGCUGAAAUUGCUAUUUUAGAUUUGAGUAUAUCUGUAUUUAGAAAGAAUUUUUUUAUUUUUAAUAUUCAUCAAAUUAGUUUGCCUGCCAAAGAUGACAAGAAGUUUUCACCUACAGUAAACGUUUCUACUCCUUGUCAGAUGUUAUUAGAUAAGGUAUGUUAACACUAACUGUAGUUAUCUGACCAGAUCUGCAUAAAACACAUAGCUUAAGAACACUGCCUUAUCACUCAUUACACACACUGUAAAGCAAGGUGAUGUUAUGUUGUCAUUUUUGUUUGAUAUGCUACUUCCAUGUAAAUAACUGCAUCAGCUUGUAUCUUGCUGCUUGGCAUGUUGGUAAAGAAUUGUGGGAAGAUGACUAUGGUACCAUUUCUCAUGGAAGCUCCCGUUGUUAACCAGAAUAACCUCUUCUCUCUCUCUCUCUCCUGAGGAGUGUGUGUGUGUACUGAGAAUGCAACACUAGAGGUCAAGUCAAUGACUGUCCACACUUGAUUUUUUAAAAUUUUUUACAACUGACAAUGAUUCUCAUGAGAUGGUGUUAUGAUGUCAUCCUGUGAUAUAUAGGUGUGGAUGACUUUAUCAUCGCUGUCAUGUUACUAUCAUGGCGCUUGCUGCCAUGCACAGCAGCCUACUGCUGAAUCAUGUUCAAGUAGGAGUGCAUUUAUUCUGAUAAUGGUGCUGCUGUGCUGAGUCCAGCGUAUCCAUUGUUGUCUUACUCAACUAAAGACUGGUGUCAGGAGUCCAUGUUUCAACACCAUGUGAAAGAAACUAUUGGGCCUGAGAUCAGAUGUUCUUUAUACAGUAGAAGGGAAAAUAAGAAUGCUCAGUAAGUGGUGGCUUGAGAGCCCAUACUGUGAAAGCCUGGUUACCUUCUCUAUUCAGCUAUUACAUUCCAAUCUCUGCCACUCCUGUCAUUUGCCAGCUUUGAUAAAUGACAGGAGUGGCAAGGAGUGGAAUGUUAGCUAAAAAGACUGGUAGCCAGACUAUUGAAUGCAUGAGAGGGAAGGCCGAGAAACUCUACUUUGUUUUGACUGUAGCUGUCUCAGCCUGUUGUAUGGUAUCUACUAUCUAUCCAUACAUUUUGCAAUGUCACAUGCAUCCAGAGUCCGCAACAACAGCUCAACAAAGUAUUGUGAAGUAGGCCAAAGGAAAAAAUCUUGACUUUGAAGUUCCAGUGCACCAUUUCCUGUACCACCAGGGGAAAUGCUGCUGUCUGUCUGCUGUGUGUUGUUUUCUGUGGAUCUGACUGAUGGAGGCAGAGUCCUCCACACUUAUCUACAAUGCAACAACAGAGAUUAUACUAAUUAUAUAUUUUUAUAAUUAUAAUUAUGUCUUACCUUUCUAUUCUUUUGUCAGAGAAACGUAUUUACUCUUGGCAGAAUGGACUUGUUGGUUGACUGCUCUUUCAUUAUGAGCUCGGUCAUACCAUCAUACCUUCCCAGUCAUUAAGUAUAACAAAGCAUUGACUAGACAACCGUACAGUAUGAUGUUUAAAUACCUGAUGUUUACUUGAUUUACAACAUUGCCCCUGGCACAUUGUGGAAUGUCUUGACAGAAUACAGACCUCAGAUAUACAUGAUUAAUAAGCACGGAUUCUGUGCUGAUUAUGUUAGCUGUAACAAUGUCAUUUUAAAGACAAUUAUUCACAAACGAAAUAUAUUUUGGGUUGUUUUGUUCUUUUGGACGAUUCAUUUUUGGUAAUUUCCUGUGUAUUAUGCAUGACUAUUAUUUAAAAAAAGACAAAACAUUUGUCAGUUAUUGUCUCUGGUUCUAUGUCUCAGUUACACUCUGGUGAGCACUGUAGGACUUGAAAUAUUAGCUUUAAUCAUAUCUCAGUCAGACAUCAGUUGAGCUGUAAAGGAUGGAAUAGAUAGCUUUACUAUGAGAUGUGUACGCUCUGUUGAUUUGAGACUUCCCAUUAAUACAGAAGAGUUUCCUAACAUGCACGGAGGAAACAAACUCUCAGCCUUAAAUAUCAGAUAUGUUCCCAAAGACUAAUUACAUCCCAGAUUAAUUGUCUUGCCAAAAAUACAUACUUUAUUUUGAGCUAUUCCUUUUUAUAGAUAUUUAUCUUGUCAAUGCUCCAUUAGUAGAUUCUGAGACUAUUUCUAAACUAUGUUUGCCUUCUGUAGUUACUGUAUGUUCUGUAAUUGAUCACAACAUGAUGCCACUGAUGCUGUUCUUAAGUUGUAGUUUGUUGUUGUUGUUGCAGUUUUAACAAAGUUCAAACCAUUAUUUAAACAGCAACGCAACAACACAUCAAUCAAUGCCCAGAAAUAUAUAUUUAAAGUAUGUUGUACAUGGUGCAUAAAACAACUGAUAACUGAUUUUUUUUAAAGCAUUUAUCAAUUGUUGCAGUAUUUAUAAGAAUGUAUUGUUUUUUUUUUGUUUUCAGAACAAUGUGCUCUUGACUUAUUUUUUGUUAACCUCAUUUUUGGGUAUACAUUUAGCAAAACGUGGACUGCACAUGGCAAUGCAAUGUUAGCGUUACAAAUCGAGUAAACAUGUCAAAAAAAUAAACAAUAAGUCUGUUUGAUUUUGUUAUGGGCUUUCCUCCAAUCCUCCAAUCCUCCAAUCCUCCAACCCUCCAACCCUCCAAUCCUCCAAUCCUCCAACCCUCCAAUCCUCCAAUCCUCCAACCCUCCAACCCUCCAAUCCUCCAAUCCUCCAACCCCCCCCCGCCAAUCCUCCAACCCCCAACCCUCCAAUCCUCCAAUCCUCCAACCCUCCAACCCUCCAAUCCUCCAAUCCUCCAACCCUCCAAUCCUCCAAUCCUCCAACCCUCCAAUCCUCCAAUCCUCCAAUCAUCCAAGUCUUCUAGUCAUGGAAGAUUUCUUUUUGUGUUAACCACUUAAAACCUCUUAAGGAUUAGCCUAACUUUUGACUUAAAAUUACAUACCUAAAUCUAAAUGCCUAUAGCUCAGGCCCUGAAGCAAGGAUAUGCAUAUUCUUGGUACCAUUUGAAAGGAAACACUUUGAAGUUUGUAGAAAUGUGAAAGGAAUGUAGUAGAAUAUAACACAAUAGAUCUGGUAAAAGAUAAUACAAAGAAAAAAACAACCAUAUUUUUUUUGUACCAUCUUUGAAGGAAAAAGGAAACCGCACACUGCUCUUGAUAGUAUCAUCGAUCUUUAAUAAGCUUACGUGUCGGCCACACGGCCUUCGUCAGAGCUUUUGGGAUUUUUUGAAAGUUGCACCAUUAUGUGGACCUGGCCCCUCCCACAUCUGUUCUACACAUCAAAGGGGGCUGGAGGCAAAGGAAAAAUAAAUAAGUGCUACCAAAUAUAACAAUAUGCAUUUCAUAAAUAUUACAAAAGUGUAUAGACAAGGUGUAUUAAACACGUCUGUAAAAUCUGAAUAAGGACAUAGCAAGUUUUCAUUAGUCACUGGGUACAUCAUAUGACCCAAUGUUAUCAAAUUCUGAGGCCCAACAGUGGGUAUAAAGACUGUUCAUCACGUCAAAUCCUCUUAUGUCCAUUUUCCCCUGUGUAACAGCAGUCCUUAUAGACAGGGACUAAUAUUGGAGGGGCUAAAACAGCAGCGGUAAUACUGUUUCUGCAACAGAGGGAUAAUCAUACUUGACGUUUUCAUUGCUUUUGUUACCACAGUUACGAGGAAGGCAACCUUAUGUUCUGCUAUCGAGUGCU